rnacentral:rRNA from 1 species
UACGUAGGGUGCGAGCGUUGUCCGGAAUUAUUGGGCGUAAAGAGCUUGUAGGCGGUCUGUCGCGUCUGCUGUGAAAAUCCGGGGCUCAACCCCGGACUUGCAGUGGGUACGGGGCAGACUAGAGUGUGGUAGGGGGAGACUGGAAUUCCUGGUGUAGCGGUGAAAUGCGCAGAUAUCAGGAGGAACACCGAUGGCGAAGGCAGGUCUCUGGGCACUUACUGACGCUGAGGAAGCGAAAAGCAUGGGGGAGCGAACAGG